rnacentral:rRNA from 1 species
AUUCCAGCUCCAAUAGCGUAUAUUAAAGUUGUUGCGGUUAAAAAGCUCGUAGUUGGAUUUCAGUUCCGGACUGACGGUUCACCGCCCGGUGCCUACUGUCACGCUCCGAACAGCCGCACCGCCGGCUUGCACGGGGUGCUCUUCAUCGAGUGUCCCGAGUGGCCGGCACGUUUACUUUGAAAAAAUUAGAGUGCUCAGAGCAGGCUCCUUGAAUGGCCUGAAUGUCUAUGCAUGGAAUAAU